UUUCCGUAGGUGAACCUGCGGAAGGAUCAUUCAUAAUAAAGUGUUUUAUGGCACUUUUUAAAAAUCCAUAUCCACCUUGUGUGCAAUGUUAGAUCUCGACAAUCUUGGCGAGAUUUUUAUACAUCAACUCAUUCUUUAACUAAUUUGUCUGAAAAAUAUUAUGAAUACUUAAUUCAAAAUACAACUUUCAACAACGGAUCUCUUGGCUCUC
rnacentral:misc_RNA from 1 species